rnacentral:rRNA from 1 species
GACGAACGCUGGCGGCGUGCCUAAUACAUGCAAGUUGAGCGCACAGAGGUGGUACUUGUUCCUCCUGGCUGAGCAGCGGACGGGUGAGUAACGCGUGGGGAACCUGCCUUUGAGCGGGGGACAACAUCUGGAAACGAAUGCUAAUACCGCAUAAAAACUUUAACCACAUGUUUUAAGUUUGAAAGAUGCAAUUGCAUCACUCUAAGAUGAUCUCCCGUUGUCUUAGCUAGUUGGUGAGGUAAACGCCCACCAAAGGGAAGAUACCUAGCCGACCUGAGAGGGUGAGAGGGCACAUUGGGAAUGUGAGACGCGCCCAACUCCCACAGGAGGCGGCAGAAGGGAAUCUUUGGCGAAAGACGAGAGACCGACCGGGCGACGCCGCGUGAGUGAAGAAGGGUUUCGGGUCUCAAAACUCUGUGUGUAGAGAAGAGAGUAUAUGAGUAUGGAACGGUCAACAAGUGACGGGAACUACCCAGAAAGGGACGGCUAACUUCGGG